GGGUUGUGAGGUUAAGCGACUAAGCGUACACGGUGGAUGCCCUGGCAGUCAGAGGCGAUGAAGGACGUGCUAAUCUGCGAUAAGCGUCGGUAAGGUGAUAUGAACCGUUAUAACCGGCGAUUUCCGAAUGGGGAAACCCAGUGUGUUUCGACACACUAUCAUUAACUGAAUCCAU
rnacentral:rRNA from 1 species